rnacentral:rRNA from 1 species
UGGGGGAAAAUUAGUAUAUAAAAUUAUAAUAAAAAUAAUUUUAAUAAAAUAUGAUGGGGUUAAAGUAUUUUAUAAAGAAAAAAUUGUUUAAUUUAUAAAGAAUUAGUAUUGUGAAAGAAAUUUGAAAUAUUUGAAAAUUAAUUAAUUUAAUAGUAAAUUUUAAUUAUUGUAUCUUGUGUAUCAGAGUUUAUUAAUAAAGAUUUUUAUAAAAAAAAAAUUCUCGAAUUUGAAAGAGUUAAUUAGUUAAAAAAAUUAUUGUUGCAAAAAUAUUUUUCAUAAUUAAUUAGAAAUGAAAUGUUAAUCGUUUUUAAAUAUAUCUAGUUUUUUUAGAAAAAAAUUUAAUUUUAAAUUAUUUUAAUUAAAAAUUUAAAUAAUAAAAUUUUUAAAAAAUUAAAUUUAAUAUUUUAAGGGAUAAGCUUUAAUUUAAAUUUUUAUAAUAGUUUUUUUUUUAUUAAUUGAAAAUUUUAAAAUUUAUAUUGUUUAAAAAUUAUAAUUUUUUAUAAAUAAUUUCAAAAUAAAAUAAAAUUUAAAAAAUUAAAUUUAAAUUUUUAUAAAAUAAGUAAAAUUUAAUAUUAUAAUUUUAGUUACAAUGAUAAAAUUAGUAUAUGAAUAUAUAAUAUAAAAAUUAUUAAAUAUGAAUUAGUGGAAAAUUAAUUAUAAGGAAUUCGGCAAAUUUUUAUAUUCACUUGUUUAUCAAAAACAUGUCUUUUUGAAAUAAUUUAAAGUCUAAUCUGCCCACUGAUAAAAAUUAAAGGGCUGCAGUAUUUUGACUGUACAAAGGUAGCAUAAUCAUUAGUCUCUUAAUUGGUGACUUGUAUGAAAGAUUGGAUGAGAUAUAAACUGUCUUAUUAUUAUUAAUAAAAUUUAAUUUUUUAGUUAAAAAGCUAAAAUAUUUUUAAAAGACGAGAAGACCCUAUAGAGUUUUAUAUUAAAGUUAAUUAUAAAUUUUUAUAUUAAUGUUAAGUUUGAAUUAAUUUUAAUAUUUUGUUGGGGUGAUAAAAAAAUAAAAUUAACUUUUUUUUUAUUAUAUAUAUAUAUAUAUAUAUAUAUAUAACAUUAAUUAAUGAAUAAAUGAUCCAUAAAUUAUGAUUAAAAGAUUAAAUUACCUUAGGGAUAACAGCGUAAUUUUUUUUUUUAGUUCAAAUAAAAAAGAAAGUUUGCGACCUCGAUGUUGGAUUAAGAUAAAAUUUAAAUGCAAAAGUUUAAAAUUUUGAUCUGUUCGAUCAUUAAAAUCUUACAUGAUCUGAGUUCAAACCGGUGUAAGCCAGGUUGGUUUCUAUCUUUAUAUACAUUAAAUAUUUUAGUACGAAAGGAUCAAAUAUUUAAAAUAAUUUUAUUUUAUAAGGAUAUUAUUAAAUGUGUUUGUUUAAAUUAA